rnacentral:rRNA from 1 species
UACGUAGGGCGCGAGCGUUGUCCGGAAUUAUUGGGCGUAAAGAGCUCGUAGGCGGCCUGUUGCGUCUGCUGUGAAAUCCCGGGGCUUAACCCCGGGCUUGCAGUGGAUACGGGCAGGCUGGAGGCAGGCAGGGGAGAAUGGAAUUCCCGGUGUAGCGGUGAAAUGCGCAGAUAUCGGGAGGAACACCGGUGGCGAAGGCGGUUCUCUGGGCCUUACCUGACGCUGAGGAGCGAAAGCGUGGGGAGCGAACAGG